rnacentral:rRNA from 1 species
AGAGUUUGAUCCUGGCUCAGAGCGAACGCUGGCGGCAGGCCUAAUACAUGCAAGUCGAGCGCACCUUUCGGGGUGAGCGGCGGACGGGUGAGUAACGCGUGGGAAUAUGCCCUAUGGUGCGGAACAACUGAGGGAAACUCAGCUAAUACCGCAUGUGCCCUACGGGGGAAAGAUUUAUCGCCAUAGGAGUAGCCCGCGUUGGAUUAGUUUGUUGGUGAGGNAAUGGCUCACCAAGACUACGAUCCAUAGCUGGUCUGAGAGGAUGAUCAGCCACACUGGGANNNNNNNNNNNNNCAGACUCCUACGGGACGCAGCAG